UACGUAGGGGGCAAGCGUUGUCCGGAUUUACUGGGCGUAAAGAGCGUGUAGGCGGCCAAGCAGGUCCGUUGUGAAAACUGGAGGCUUAACCUCCAGACGUCGACGGAAACCGCGCGGCUAGAGUCCGGAAGAGGAGAGUGGAAUUCCUGGUGUAGCGGUGAAAUGCGCAGAAUAUCAGGAAGAACACCAAUGGCGAAGGCAGCUCUCUGGGAACGGUACUGA
rnacentral:rRNA from 1 species